GAUGGGGCGGUGUUGUUACACGCGUCCUCAAAAAGCACGUGUCCUCAAAAACCACGUUGAUGUCUAUGCAUCUCCAUUAGGGUUUCGCUGGAAACCAUACGCAACAGAGAGGGAGAAAGAAAGAUGGAGAACGAGAAGCAGGAAAGCAUCAUCACCGUCGUCAUCACAGACCUUUCACCGCCAUCUAGACGCGGGUCAUCAUUGUUGGCAGUUUUUGCUCAUCUUAUCCAUACUCUCACGCCGGUAAGCUUCUGCAAUCGAUUGAACAAACCCCGAUUGGGUUUCGGAGGGGACCCAUGACGAAAAAUCGGUGUUUAUGUGAUGUUGAUUUUGUGAUUGUUCGGUUCUUUGGCUUUGAUAUUUGGGGUUUUGGAGUGUCACUGAAGGUCAUGGCUUCUCCCCGACUGCUCAUGUUAUUCAUUUUUUCCCUUGGUUAGGCUGCUAUACUACAAGUUCUUAGGCUUUGCAUUUUGGUACAGGUGAUGUUUUUUGCCUCCAGGAGAAAAUAGUAUGAUCUCUUGCUUUACCAUAGCUCCUAUUAUGAGUUUCAUUUUCAUUUUUUUAAAUCCGCUUGUAUAUAUCAUACAGGUAGUUUAACCUAUUGAUUGCCUCUUUUUGCUUACUUAUUUAUUAAUGGCAGGUUACGUUUUUCUAUUUUAUUAUUAAUAGCAUUGUAACACUCUUUGAUGUUUGUUAUGCAAUUGUGAAGCUCUAAAGAGUCCUAAAACCGAUUUGAAUGGUGAAUGAAUGUGAUUUUGCAAGACUUAGCUGACCAAAACAAACCCAAUCACAUCCACCCUACUUCUCAUAUGAUAAAAUUAUGUUGUACAAUACUUUGACAGCACCAAGUUUAAGUCUAUUGUAAGUUUAUUUGAGCUUGGUUAGUGUCUUAGUGCAAAUAAGAAUUUAUAGUUGAUUUGCUGGUUAUAUAUGUGAGGUUUUUGAUCUUUUAUCCUUCCUUAUUGCAUUAGAUUUUAGUAAAACAGAUUAGAGGAUCACAACAAAUUUUAUACCAUAAAUUCAUGUGUUUUUAAUGUUUUGCAGGUGUUUUAGUUUCGUUACCCGAGGCUACUUCAAUAUAUAUGCUUUCAUUCUUAUAGUCUUUGUUUCCAGCUUAGUUUGAUGAAUAUAUAUAUAUAAGUUUGGGUUUUUAUGAGUUUGCUGCCCAAGUGAGAUCAGUGCUUAAACACUGCCCAACUCUUCAAUUAUCUCAAGCAAGAAAAGUUACAUUUGUCUUUUUCACAUAAUAAUGCAAAUCACAUAAUUGUUUUAUAAAUCUGAUCUCAUUUCGCUUUACCACCGCCAGAGAAUGGGUGAGAGACAAAAGGUGACGGUUGUUGAUGUCGGUGUGAAAGGGGUGGUGGGUUGAUCGGAGGAGACGAUGGCGGAGAGGAAGGAGUGGAGGACCUUUCGUCGCUCAUUAACCUAAUCUGCUGAACUGGGAUAAAGUUGAACUCGCGGUUGACCAAAAAGAAGCAGCAAACAUCGAAGAAGCAAUCACCUAUACCCACUGGCUACUGACGGUCUACCCAAUGCCGUUUG